rnacentral:rRNA from 1 species
GUAGGGAGCAAGCGUUGUCCGGAUUUACUGGGUGUAAAGGGUGCGUAGGCGGCUUUGCAAGUCAGAUGUGAAAUCUAUGGGCUCAACCCAUAAACUGCAUUUGAAACUGUAGAGCUUGAGUGAAGUAGAGGCAGGCGGAAUUCCCCGUGUAGCGGUGAAAUGCGUAGAGAUGGGGAGGAACACCAGUGGCGAAGGCGGCCUGCUGGGCUUUAACUGACGCUGAGGCACGAAAGCGUGGGUAGCAAACAGGAUUAGAUACCCUGGUAGUCCACGCUGUAAACGAUGAUUACUAGGUGUGGGGGGUCUGACCCCUUCCGUGCCGGAGUUAACACAAUAAGUAAUCCACCUGGGGAGUACGGCCGCAAGGUUG